rnacentral:rRNA from 1 species
CGGAGGGAUCAUUAAUGAAUGGCUUUUGCCUUCAACUCUGUAAACCCGUGGAAGGAAGAUGUGCUUUGGUGCUCCGGCGCCUCGUUUAUGCGGUAAAGUAUUUGUCUGAAUCUAAAAGCAAGAAUUAAAACUUUCAACAAAGGAUCUCUUGGCUCUCGCAUCGAUGAAGAACGCAGCGAAGCGCGAAAUGUAGUGUGAAUCGCAGAACAUUGUGAAUCAUCGAAUCUUUGAACGCACAUUGCGCCUCCCGUUACUGGGAGGCAUGCCUGUCUGAGCGUCAUUUAAAACAUAGUACCCUGCCAGGGGGUCUGUCUUGGGCCUCGCCUGUGGGCGUAGCCUAAAAGCUAUCGGUCUAAAGAGCGGACGAGAUCCAUUGGGACUGACCGUUCUGUGACCUUAAACCUCUGACUUGACCUCAGAUCAGGUAGGGCUACCGCCUGAACUUAAGCAUAUCAAUAAGGCGAGGAACAGAAACCAACAGGGAUUCCCCUAGUAGUGGCGAGUGAAGCGGGAAAAGCUCAAGUUUGAAAUCUGAAGUUUACUUCAGAGUUGUAAGCUGAAGAGGUGUCGACCGACCUGGUCCGGGCCCAAUUUCCUUGGAACAGGAGGUCAUGGAGGGUGAGAACCCCGUCUGUGGCUCGGGUGCUGUGGUCCUUGUGUCGUGCCCUCGAAGAGUCGGGUUGUUUGGGAAUGCAGCUCAAAAUGGGUGGUAAAUUUCAUCUAAGGCUAAAUAUUGGCGAGAGACCGAUAGCAAACAAGUAGAGUGAUCGAAAGAUGAAAAGUACUUUGAAAAGAGAGUGAAACAGUACGUGAAAUUGUAGAAAGGGAAGCGUUUGGCAUCAGCCCAUGGCACCCCUCGAUCAUCUGGGCUUCUGCCUGGUGCACUUUCCAUCCGAUGGGUCAGCGUCAAUUUUGCUCCUCGGAUAAUGGCAAGGGAAAGGUGGCACCUUUACGGGUGUGUUAUAGUCUCCUGUCGCAUGCGAGGGGUGGGAUUGAGGAACUCAGCGCGCACCUUGGUGUCGGGGCUUCUGCCC